rnacentral:rRNA from 1 species
ACGGAAGGCAGCAGUGGGGAAUAUUGGGCAAUGGGCGCAAGCCUGACCCAGCGACGCCGCGUGAAGGAAGAAGGUCUUCGGAUUGUAAACUUCUUUUAUGUGGGACGAAGAAAAUGACGGUACCACAUGAAUAAGCUCCGGCUAACUACGUGCCAGCAGCCACGGUAAUACGUAGGGAGCAAGCGUUAUCCGGAUUUACUGGGUGUAAAGGGCGUGUAGGCGGGACUACAAGUCAGAUGUGAAAGCACGAGGCUCAACUUCGUGUCUGCAUUUGAAACUGUAGUUCUUGAGUGUUGGAGAGGCUAACGGAACUCCUAGUGUAGCGGUGAAAUGCGUAGAUAUUAGGAAGAACACCAGUGGCGAAGGCGGUUAGCUGGACAAUAACUGACGCUGAGGCGCGAAAGCGUGGGUAGCAAACAGGAUUAGAUACCCUGGUA